UGAGCGGCGUGCCUAAUACAUGCAAGUCGAGCGAAUGGAUUAAGAGCUUGCUCUUAUGAAGUUAGCGGCGGACGGGUGAGUAACACGUGGGUAACCUGCCCAUAAGACUGGGAUAACUCCGGGAAACCGGGGCUAAUACCGGAUAACAUUUUGAACCGCAUGGUUCGAAAUUGAAAGGCGGCUUCGGCUGUCACUUAUGGAUGGACCCGCGUCGCAUUAGCUAGUUGGUGAGGUAACGGCUCACCAAGGCAACGAUGCGUAGCCGACCUGAGAGGGUGAUCGGCCACACUGGGACUGAGACACGGCCCAGACUCCUACGGGAGGCAGCAGUAGGGAAUCUUCCGCAAUGGACGAAAGUCUGACGGAGCAACGCCGCGUGAGUGAUGAAGGCUUUCGGGUCGUAAAACUCUGUUGUUAGGGAAGAACAAGUGCUAGUUGAAUAAGCUGGCACCUUGACGGUACCUAACCAGAAAGCCACGGCUAACUACGUGCCAGCAGCCGCGGUAAUACGUAGGUGGCAAGCGUUAUCCGGAAUUAUUGGGCGUAAAGCGCGCGCAGGUGGUUUCUUAAGUCUGAUGUGAAAGCCCACGGCUCAACCGUGGAGGGUCAUUGGAAACUGGGAGACUUGAGUGCAGAAGAGGAAAGUGGAAUUCCAUGUGUAGCGGUGAAAUGCGUAGAGAUAUGGAGGAACACCAGUGGCGAAGGCGACUUUCUGGUCUGUAACUGACACUGAGGCGCGAAA
rnacentral:rRNA from 1 species